rnacentral:lncRNA from 1 species
GGGAUGGAAAUCAGCUGCUCAGCUGGUUCACCCCGCUCCUCUUCUUUCCAUUGGUCCAGCUUGUCGACCGUUAGGGAGUCCUUUGAUUCAUUGCUUUGCGUAGAGAUUUGGAAGUACUGCCGAGCGAGUUGUUGAUCCCCGCAUAUUUUUUCGGCUUCGAUUUUAGUUGGGAACCGAACCAGCAAGUGGUAUGUCGAGACUAUCGCCCUGAGGACGUUUAGUCCGAAUCUUCCAAGUAUGGCAUUGU